AUACGUAGGGUGCGAGCGUUGUCCGGAAUUACUGGGCGUAAAGAGCUCGUAGGUGGUUUGUCGCGUCGUCUGUGAAAUUCCGGGGCUUAACUCCGGGCAUGCAGGCGAUACGGGCAUAACUUGAGUACUGUAGGGGAGACUGGAAUUCCUGGUGUAGCGGUGAAAUGCGCAGAUAUCAGGAGGAACACCGGUGGCGAAGGCGGGUCUCUGGGCAGUAACUGACGCUGAGGAGCGAAAGCAUGGGUAGCGAACAGGAUUAGAUACCCUGGUAGUCCAUGCCGUAAACGGUGGGCGCUAGGUGUAGGGGUCUUCCACGACUUCUGUGCCGUAGCUAACGCAUUAAGCGCCCCGCCUGGGGAGUACGGCCGCAAGGCUAAAACUCAAAUGAAUUGACGGGG
rnacentral:rRNA from 1 species